rnacentral:antisense_RNA from 1 species
CUUCACCGAACCGAGCCACAGCGGACGCCCCUCGGGGCGCUCCUGGCCGUACGUCGCGAGCAGCGCCUGCGCCUC